rnacentral:rRNA from 1 species
AUGAUCUCAUCCGAUCACAUUUCCAAAACUUCCUCCCCCCUCGGACAUGGGAAGAUGGUAAUGUUUAGUAUCCUCAACCCCACAUUCACAAGUUGGACACUGAGCACUAACCUUGACAUGACGAUUCGCCAAAACAAUCGAAGGGGAAGGUUACCAUAUGGGAGAGACUUCCGUAAAAAGAAGAUACCUUCACUCCAAUGGAAUAGUAAGGUCACAUACUCUUUCUGUACCCGGGUUAACAUUGAUGAGGAGGAUGUGGAGAGGACGACGAGGGACUCGGCUAGUGAGGAAGUGUUGAUGAAUUAG